GGGGACAUAGCUCAGUUGGGAGAGCAACAGAAUGAAGUGUCGUAGCCACGUAUGGUGUUCUGGAGGUCCCCAGUUCAAUCCUGGGUGUCCCCA